GUUUGAUCCUGGCUCAGACUGAACGCUGGCGGCAUGGCUAAAACAUGCAAGUCGAACGGACCCGCAAGGGUUAGUGGCGGAAGGGUGAGUAAUACUAUCGAAUGUACCCCGAGGUGGAGGAUAGGCAUGGGAAACUGUGCGUAAUACUUCGUGAUCUCGUGAGAGCAAAGCCGCAAGGCGCCUUGGGAGCAGCGAUAUUCCUAUCAGGUAGUUGGCGGGGUAAUGGCCCACCAAGCCGAAGACGGGUAGCCGGUAUGAGAGUACGGCCGGCCACAUCGGGACUGAGACACUGCCCGGACUCCUACGGGAGGCUGCAGUAACGAAUAUUCCGCAAUGGGCGAAAGCCUGACGGAGCAAUGCCGCGUGUGGGAUGAAGCGGUUUCGCCGUGUAAACCACUGUCAGAAGAUAGAAAAGAUGAUCAUCUUCGAAGGAAGGGGCGACUAACUCUGUGCCAGCAGUCGCGGUAAUACACAGGCCCCGAGCGUUAGUCGGAAUCACUGGGCUUAAAGGGUGCGUAGGCGGACUUGUAAGUGCUUUGUGAAAGCCCUGGGCUCAACCCAGGAACCGCAGAGCAUACUGCAAGUCUUGAGGAAGCUAGAGGCGGGUAGAACGAUCGGUGGAGCGGUGGAAUGCGUACAGAUCGAUCGGAAUGCCAAGGGUGAAGACAACCCGCUGGGGCUUUCCUGACGCUGAGGCACGAAAGCGUGUGGAUCAAACAGGAUUAGAUACCCUGGUAGUCCACGCCCUAAACGAUGCACACUAGAUCGGUGCCGGUUUCACCCGGUAUUGGUCG
rnacentral:rRNA from 1 species